GCUAUGUCUCUCCUCAAAACAAACUCUUCAUCACAAACAUGAUAAUCUAGUUACUUUUAUCUCUCUAUAUCAUCUCUCUUUCACGCCUUUCCUCUACAAUUCACCCAUCAGUACCCCAAGCUUAUAUCCCUCUCCCUCUCUCUCACACAAUACAGAAACAACACAAAACGACACCCAUCUCACUCAUUCCAAAAAUUGGCGAGGCCUCACACCCCUCCGUCGAUGACCAAUCGACGCUGUCCGCCGCCACUCCAGGCAGUCAGCUCCUCCGUCGGCAGCGCUGUUUCUCACAACCGGCAAGAAAUUUUCAGAAUUUGAAAUUGAAGAGAAACAAGGGGUAGCUUCUAAAGCUUUAAAGAUCGAAGCUUUCAAAGGGAGUAUCAUUCAACAAGUUGCAGCAAAUUUUCAAAAUAAAUUAUUUCAGAUUCGGCCAGUGAACUAAAGUGAAUGUAUGAAAGUAUGUCAUGGAAUUGAAUGCAGAGACUUUCAAAAAUUGUGGAUA